rnacentral:lncRNA from 1 species
AUUCUGUUUUCCAGACCUCAACCUGAAGGAUGAGGAAAGCUUUGGUUACUGUGGUCCACUUUUCUUUCUUUUUGGUUGAAGUCCAGAUUUGCAAAACAGUGUCUCCAAUGAGUUUUUGUGGAAUUCAUUUAGGGUCAGGGUGACCUUGUUCUGAGAUAGGUUCUGACAUAUUCCAUUUGACACCGUUUCCUUUGCUAAGCAAUCUUUCACCUGCCAAGAAAAGCUCUGCUUCCACACCAAAGCAGGACCUCGAGUUUCAAACUGAGGGGAUGACAGUCAGCAGCUUCCACCAAGACAAACCUGUGUCUGCUUUGCAGGAGCUUGUCAAGAAUCCUGGUGACUAAGGACUGGUUUGAAAAUAACCGGUAUUGUCCACGGGCUGAUCAUAGGAGUUGGUCUUUGGUAUUACACUGGGCACUGAGGACACAGAGAAGAAUAAGAGGGCUUUACCCUCAAGAAUCCUGCAAGUCUACCAGCCACAAAUUGCAUCCUGCUCACAUCAAGCCACUUGGUGUGUCCUGACAGAUUGGAUGGGAGCGCUCCCAGAUAAAAAGUGGUAGGAGUUAGUACAAAACCAUCAAAACUUUGGAGGACAUAAGGUCAUUGAGCUCAUUUCCCCACUGGAUGGACAUGCGUCUUGUGACUAUGAGGUGACAAUGAUGUUAAUGACAUCUGAGUGGAAAGAAGAUGAAGCCUAGAUUCCUGAACACAUUCAGACCUGCCACAGCAACCUAGCUCUGAACUCCCUUCAAAAUUUCACUCUUGUGGCCCAGGCUGGAGUGCAAUGGCGUGAUCUCAGCUCACUGCAACUUCUACCUCUCGGAUUCAAGUGAUUCUCCUGCCUCAGCCUCCCAGGUAGCUGGGUUUACAGGAAUGAAAUGGACGUUCUUACUCAUCAUACCAUAAGCAUCCAGGUGAAUGAUUGCUCACUUCUUUCAUCUAAUGAGGAAUUGGCUUUCUUGAGAAUCUCAAUGCAGUGUACCUCCAACCUUAACAGACUGCUGUAAAACACCCUGACCAUUCUUUAGUAUAAGCACUGAAGAAGACAGUAUGUUGACCACGAGGCACCUGGCCUGGCUCAUAGUAUGCCAUCAAGAAAUGCUAAUUUUCUAUUUCCUCUUUUUCAAAGAGUUAUUUCAAGAAAGAAAGGAGAGGAGAGGAUGUUACAAAUUCCAUGUAAAUAAAAUUUGUCACUAAUUCUGUGAACUAAUUGAUAUCAUAAUUUGAUUCUCUUACCUCUUUUUAAUCUCUCUAUUAGUCCAUUUUUAUGCUGUGAAUAAAGACAUACCUGAGACUGGGCAAUUUACAAAAGAA